AUUGAACGCUGGCGGCAGGCUUAACACAUGCAAGUCGAGCGGAGAUGAGGUGCUUGCACCUUAUCUUAGCGGCGGACGGGUGAGUAAUGCUUAGGAAUCUGCCUAUUAGUGGGGGACAACAUUCCGAAAGGAAUGCUAAUACCGCAUACGUCCUACGGGAGAAAGCAGGGGAUCUUCGGACCUUGCGCUAAUAGAUGAGCCUAAGUCGGAUUAGCUAGUUGGUGGGGUAAAGGCCUACCAAGGCGACGAUCUGUAGCGGGUCUGGGAGGAUGGUCCGCCACACUGGGACUGAGAAACGGCCCAGACUCCUACGGGAGGCAGCAGUGGGGAAUAUUGGACAAUGGGGGGAACCCUGAUCCAGCCAUGCCGCGUGUGUGAAGAAGGCCUUAUGGUUGUAAAGCACUUUAAGCGAGGAGGAGGCUACUGAGACAAAUACUCCUGGAUAGUGGACGUUACUCGCAGAAUAAGCACCGGCUAACUCUGUGCCAGCAGCCGCCGUAA
rnacentral:rRNA from 1 species